AACUUGGUGUCCUACCUGUAGCUCACAACCUGCCAGUUUUAGGUUGUAACUCCUUCGACGCCGAAAAAAAUUGCUUCACUCCUGUGCCGUGUGGAGCCUUACCUCCAUUACGGCAAGUACUGUCGUGAACUGGCUUGUUGUGAAGUGUUUGCGAUUCCAAAGACGUGGAGGACCUCAGACAGGCUGCAGUCUCUGCUGACACUCGUAAGCUCAGCGGCCACUUCCCUCUGAGAAGAUCCUGUUUUCAACCUCAAUCACACUGACGUUUGAUAUACGACAUCAUAAAUGGCAAUGGCCCAAGAGAACGCCAAGGUGUCAAGUUAUGACUGGUCCAAAGCCAGGUAAGAGUGUGUGUGUGUGUGUGUGUGUGUGUGUGUAUGUGUGUGUGUGUGUGUGUGUGUGUGUGUGUGUGUGUGUGAGUGUGUGUAAGAGUGAAGCAAAUGAGUGAUACAUCAGUUGUUAGGCCUGGGCCGACAACACAUUUUGCUUGGCCGAUAGAUAGUCCCUCAAAUUGUCUAUAAACAAUAUCAUUGUCAUUAUUAUUUUGAGACCGUUUUCCUUU